GGAAUAAGAGGAAAAACAAGUUUCGCGUGGAAAAUACACACGGCAGCCAAAAGUGGUGGCGUGUUGAGCGAAAAAGGAACCAGAUUUUGGAUUUUUUUUUUAGCUCCGGAGUGAAGGAGCGGAACCACGGACGAAGGAAGGACUAAGCGAGCGAGCGGAACCCGGGACGUUGGUAUUAAGCUUAAAAUAGCUAGGUCAUAAGAUCUACAGUAUCGUAAAGACACUCUCGAUAAGAGCAAAGUUUCCCCUCGGACCACGUUGAAAGAAACUUUGUCGUAGCAGAGAAAGUUACAAGAAAAAACGAUAGUGCGGCAAAGUUUCGCCCGUAAAAAGUGUGUGCCAUCGAAGAAUUGCUCGUCUAGUACGUCGCAGCGUCCGCAGCAAUGGCCUGGGGCUACUGGAGUGCCACGGCCGUGGACCGGGGUCGGUCUCCGCGGCGAAACACCCAGCAGCAGCAGCAACUUCCCUACCAAACCCAAAGUUACCAACAGCAGCAGCAGCAGCAGUACAGUUUGGCCCAGUCCCAGCACCAGCAGUCGACGCAGUGUCUCAACAGUUGUCCCCAGCAGCAGCAGGUGGUGGCGGUUCCACCGCCGGAACCUUCGCCACCGCCACCUCCAAUUCCGCAGCAGCAGCAGCAGCAAAUCUGCGACAGUCCGUGCCACAGUCCCUGUCACAGUCCGCAGUUUCUGGAGCAACUGCCGCCGGAUCUGCCCUGCACUCCGGUGUGCACGUUCUCCCGUAGACAGUCACUUGAUAGUCCACAGGCCAACCAGCUGUCGGACAUCAUCUGCCGGGCGGUGCAACCGUCGAUCCAGUCCGCCGGAAACACCCUGACGCGUGGGACCUCCCUGCGGGACACCGGCGAUUACGCCGUGCCGCACCCGCAUCCGCACACGCACCACUACAUGACCACGACCACGUCGUCGGUGGACACGCCGCGGACGCUGAGCCGGGUCGGAUCGUGCCCGGGCUCGACCGGUGGUUCCGGAUCGGGUCACGGGUCCGGCUCGGGUUCCAGUCCGGGCGGGGGUGGAGGAGGAGGCAUGGGCGGAGGUGGCCCCGGAAGCAUCGGCACCGGAAUGGGCAGCAUGGGCGGCAGUAUGCUCGGGAUGGUCAUCGGGAUGGGGGUCGGAGGUUUGGGAGGUGGCCCCGCCAGCAUGAUGGGCAGCAUGGGGAUGGUGAGCAUGGGAGGAGGUAUGGGAGGGAGGGACAGUGUGAUGGGGGGUGGUGGCGGGAUAUGUGGGGCGAGUUUGCACGGUGGCAGUCAGGCGGGAGGGUUGGAGUACGUGGAGUGUUCGCACUACGACCGGAUGCCGUUGCCGAUUCCGGUGCAGAUUCCGAUGGUGCCGCCGAUGAUGCAGCAGAUGCACUCGGAGGACGAGAUCGAGCCGGCGUAUGCGACAGUAUUUCCCAAUGUUCCGACGGCGCCCGGAAUGUCCUGCAUCGGGGAAGACCGAAGCAUUUAUCGAAGAGGUGCCAGAAGAUGGCGCAAGCUGUACCGGAUAAAUGGACACAUCUUCCAGGCGAAACGAUUUAAUCGGAAAGCCUUCUGCGCGUUCUGCCACGACCGCAUCUGGGGCCUCGGCCGGCAGGGCUUCAAGUGCAUCCAGUGCAAGCUGCUGGUGCACAAGAAGUGCCACAAGCUCGGCAGCAAACCGUGCAGCAACGAACACGUCGAACCGGUGCUGGUUCAGGACCCGAACGACGAAUCCAGCGGCCAGGAUGGCAUCCCGCCACCGGAGCAGUACCCGUCCGGUGACUCGUACCACCACGAGCAGUGCGACCAGGUCCCGGUCGAGGUCAACGAGAACGUCGAGGAACCGCUCGAGUCCGGCACCCAGCGGCAGUACUCGCUGCAGGACUUUGAGCUGAUUCGCGUCAUCGGCCGCGGCAGCUACGCCAAGGUGCUGAUGGUGGAGCUGAAGAAGACGCGCCGCAUCUACGCGAUGAAGGUCAUCAAGAAGGCGCUCGUCACCGACGACGAGGACAUCGACUGGGUCCAGACGGAGAAGCACGUGUUCGAGACCGCCUCGAACCACCCGUUCCUGGUGGGGCUGCACUCGUGCUUCCAGACGCCGUCGAGGUUGUUCUUCGUGAUUGAGUUUGUGCGCGGCGGUGAUUUGAUGUUCCACAUGCAGCGCCAGCGCCGUCUGCCGGAGGAGCACGCCCGGUUCUACGCGGCGGAGAUCAGCCUGGCGUUGAACUUUUUGCACGAGAAGGGCAUCAUCUACCGGGAUCUGAAGCUGGACAACGUGCUGCUGGACCACGAGGGCCACAUCAAGCUGACCGAUUACGGCAUGUGCAAGGAGGGCAUCCGUCCGGGCGACACGACCUCGACGUUCUGCGGCACGCCCAAUUACAUCGCGCCGGAGAUUCUGCGGGGGGAGGAUUACGGCUUCUCCGUCGAUUGGUGGGCGCUGGGAGUCCUGCUGUACGAGAUGCUGGCAGGUCGCAGUCCGUUCGACAUUGCCGGAGCUUCCGAGAAUCCGGACCAGAACACCGAGGACUACCUGUUCCAGGUGAUCCUGGAGAAGACGAUCCGUAUACCGCGGUCGCUCAGCGUCAAGGCCGCCUCCGUGCUCAAGGGCUUCCUGAACAAGAACCCGGCCGACCGUCUGGGCUGCAACCGCGACUCGGCCUUCAUGGACAUCGUCAAUCAUCCGUUCUUCAAGAGCAUCGACUGGGAAAUGCUGGCCCAGAAAGAGGUCACCCCACCCUACAUUCCGUCGUUCGACGGGUGCGACCAGGACAUUACCUGUCACUUUGAUCCCCAGUUUACGCGCGAACCGGCCGAACUGACCCCGGACGAUCCUCGCGUCAUCGACAAGAUCGACCAGAGCGAAUUCGAGGGCUUCGAGUACGUGAACCCGCUGCUGAUGUCGCUGGAAGACUGCGUUUGACAUCACGCGUCCUGCGAGCUGCACCCCUACAAUAUGCAGAGUGAACCAAUUGUCCAAAUACAAAUACUUCCGCGGUCGAGACGCGCGCCCCUCGGCGAAAUCGAAACCAUUAGUUAUUAUCGACAUAACUAACUGUAUCAACUUUAAUUUUACGUUAAUUUAUUUUUUGUAGUGAUGCUUUGAAGAUUUUUUUUUAGUUUCAAAAUUACUUUAAAAAACGAAAUCCUACCUUAAAAAGUCGAAACAAAAACUAUACGGUGACGAUUCUAGCGAUUACGAUUCCGUUGUGGAUAACCUAAGUAUUCUUCAAUUACCUCCUCCACCAUCAAAGAGUCUGCUGCAGCACAUGUUUUGCCUUCCAUUGAACUAGCAGUAAGCAGCAGCGGCAGCGACGAAACAGUAAGAAAGUGAAAGAAAGAACGAGAAAUGGAAAUUGGACGCUCACAGACACACACAGAAACACAAUUCUAUAUCUAUUUAACUAAGGAAGAAAAAAAAAACAUUAAGAUUUAACAAAAUUGAUACAAAUUAGCGCAAAAGAACGAAAAUUAGGUAAUUAAAAGCAAAAUUAUUUCAAACAUCAAAAGAAAAAAAAACAAAACAAGAAAGUUCGAACUCAUGGCUGGCUAGAUCAUAAACUCUGCACUCAAAAAAUAGGCAAAGAAAAAGUAAACAACAAAAAAAUACACUCAAAGAAAUCGCUUCAUUGUUAGCUAAAGUAUUUGACGACGAAUAGAAAUGGGGAAACGAAAUUGUGUACAGUAAACAGCAAAAAAGGUUAAAGCAAAACAUUUAGCUAAUGAAAAUAUUCCAACAAAAAAGCAGCAGCAGCGAAAUGGAUUUUAACAACAACUUUUAAAAGGACAUUAAACUACAACGCGCGAAUGAGUAACACGAUAACUGACUUUACUAAAUAGGAGGAAAUUAAAGUAACAACAAAUAAGUAAAGAAGAAAAAAACAUGUUAGAUAAAGCAUUCAAAUUAUUCCAGAGGAAAAAAAACACACACACAGAAAAAAAGAGAGGGAAGGGAACGUUUUAUAUUCAAUUGAAUUCAUUAAACUAGAACAGAUGAAAAACAAGAAAACGAAGACAAAAUCAACAAUUCAAAACUAUUACUCCGUCAGCAAGUUAAAACUUCUAUCGCGUAAUGAACAUAUUUUCACAGUAAAAAAAGUAAAAUGAUUUAUUCCUCGACCUGAAAGACAUUCCUGAAAAAAGAAGAAGAAAAAAAGAAGAUAUUUUAUAUGGCCUGUUACCUGACUUUGUUCGUUGAAUGCUUUUCAGUGUGUGUGCGGUUUCAUUUUGGUCGCAUAAAACUUUUUUUUUCCGUUAAAAAACAUUCCACACUUUAGUUCAAUAUGGUAGAGCGCAUUGUGAUCUUUCUAAACUAUGGAAAACAGAAACAAAAAAAAUAAGAAAAGAUUUGUUGUGUAUUUGUUGUAUAAUUGAGUCCUUCCAGAAGCACACUUUCAAGUGAGGUAAUUAUUUAAACUAAACAAAAAAAGAAAUGAGAAGAAAUCUUUAUCCUAACAAAGUGGUUAUAAAACAAGUAUUUUUGAAAAUGCAGAAAAUAACAAACAAAAAAAAAACCCGAAAGAUUCCUACUUUAAUUGUUCACAACAGAUUCGUAGUUUGUUAGAGUUUUUACCCUUUUUUGAAUAAAUUAAUUUCAUUUACGUUAUUUAGCAACUAUUUAAGUAUUCAUUAGUUAAGAUUAUUUUCAAGUAUCAAGCGAACUUUUGCAGUAUUUUCUUUUGUGUUUCCUUCCAUUUUCAACUGAUUCCUGUGACCCCCUUUUAAGCGUACUUAACAUUUCACUCCCUUCUGUUUAGCUUCGUUUCAAUUGUUUAGAUUUAGUUUAACAUUAGAGCAACACUGUAAGUGAAGAAGAAAACAACUCACGAACACACACACACACACUCACAUUACUAUUGAAAGAAGAAUAAAGCUGAAAUUGACUAUUUCGA